GGGACCGGGGUCCGGUGCGGAGAGCCCCUCGUCCCGGGAAACGGGGCACGGCCGGAAAGGGGGCCGCCCCCUCCCUUGCCCCUCACGCAACGCACGUUCGUGGGGAACCUGGUGCUAAACCAUUCGUAGACGACCUGCUUCUGGGUCGGGGUUUCGUAUGUAGCAGAGCAGCUCCCUCGCUGCGAUCUAUUGAAAGUCAGCCCUCCACACAAGGGUUUGUUUAACAGACUGCCA